GACAGAGGGUGCAAACGUUGCUCGGAAUUACUGGGCGUAAAGCGCGUGUAGGUGGAUUGGUGUGUCAGAUGUGAAAUCCCUGGGCUCAACCCAGGAACUGCACCUGAAACUACCAGUCUUGAGUGGUGGAGAGGGAAGUGGAGUUCCUGGUGUAGAGGUGAAAUUCGUAGAUAUCAGGAGGAACACCAGUGGCGAAGGCGGCUUCCUGGACACCAACUGACGCUGAGACGCGAAAGCGUGGGGAGCAAACAGG
rnacentral:rRNA from 1 species